AGGUGUGCUCUCAUUGGAGGCUAAUGGCAUGAGGAAGCUGGAGGAGGUACUGCAAGAGCUGGAGGUGAGGAUGGGGAAAUUACAUCGAUUUUCAGAGUACAGGGGACUCCAUGGUGUGCCGCCCCAGAUCCAUCUUCUCAUCCUUCCAGGACUUAAUCCUGCUCUGCUUCCCUCACUCCCUGGCUACUUCCUCCUGGGAGCACUUACUUCCUUAACAGGUCACUCAUACAUGAAUCUUCAUCUCAGAGUCUGCUUCUGGGGGCAGGACCAAAACCUAAGGAUGCAUUAUUGAGGUUGUCUCUGAAAGCAACAGGAUCAUUAUUCUGCCAGGACUUCACAAGAAGCUUACAGAAAAAAAAUGAAGAUGGCAUGCCUUCUUUCAUCCAGUCAACAAUUCAUAACAAGGCUUCAUACUUUGUCUUUCUAAGAGUAUAAAUAUUGAAGUAUUGAAAAUAAAAAUUGCAGUAUUCUGGGAAACAUGAAUCUUUUACAAAGCUCAUUUCCUCUGCAUUUUACAUUCUCAAUGAUGAGAUAGAGAAUGAGACAUUUCAUUCACCAAUGUCUUUGUGUCUGUUUUCAGCUCCAAGGUUUUGGUGAAAACAGUAAAAUUUGUGUGAUAAGAUAAAAGCAGUAUAUAAAAACUUAACAAUAUUUCAAUUUCCCAACCCUUUCUGUGUAUAUGAUAUUACACAAGGUGCCUCUCAGUGAAAGAGUAACAGGAAUAAUAAAUUUCCAUUUUACAAAUUUUAGCAAAGCCUUUUUUACAUACUUUUUAGAAAAUGAGAAAGUGAAUGACUAAAUUGACUAGAUAACAAAUCCACUUGCAAAUCAUAUGCUUUCCAAUUCCUUCUUUGUGAGUGAUUUGAAGAAGGACCCAAUUGAGUUAUCAACUGAUACAUCAUUAAAAACGCUUUCUGAUAACAUAACAACUAUUUGACUUUUAGUGUGUAACUUGUAAUGGAAUGAUUUUGCUAUAAUAAAACUAUUUCUAUUCAUUUACUUAUCUAGGUGAACAAUGUUUCUUAAUUCUUACCUCUAUAGACAUAAUACAAAUUUACUGUAACCUUUUGAGAACACCAGGUAUAUUAUUUUUAGUUCAUCUCAUGAAAGGCUCAUUCUGUGCACAAGUCUGGUACAUGCUCUGGAGAUUGCAGUGAAGAGCGCCCCUGCACUAUACGUUUUUUUGGUUGUUUUGUUUUUCUUUUUCUUACUGUUAGACAAGAAGGUACAACUUGGAUUGUAUUUCUACUACCUCUGGGCUGCAGCGAGACUUGGGACCUGUUCACUAAUUGCAAAAAGAAGUGGCAGAGAGUCCUUUUAUGACAUUCUUUCUCCACACAAAACAGCAUUAGCUCCAUCACUUUGAACUGAUUUGGCAAGAUGCUUUUAAUAGAAGGCCACAGUGUUUGCUAUAUAGUUAGGGAGCUCUAAGGCACCAAUGGAAAUUUAGUAAUAUGUAUAUUUCCUUGAUGGGUUUUGAGUAUCUGACACUCUUAGCAUCUUCAGUUAUACAUUUUCUAGGAAAGCAGUCUUUAAAUGACAUACUACCCAUAAUAAUCAGCCCUGCAUUAAUAGAUUUUAUUUAUUCAAAUUUGGAGUUGGGAUUUUCCAAGACUAACUGAACUUUAUUU
rnacentral:lncRNA from 1 species